rnacentral:misc_RNA from 1 species
GUAGGUGAACCUGCGGAAGGAUCAUUAGUGAAUUGAAUAUGUUAGCGGACCUCUUCGGAGUCCCUAGCAUCAAAUCAUAUCCAUAACACCUGAGAACUGUAAGGCUGUCUUGAAAACGAAAGUGAUUAGAGCGCCUGCCCAUUUUAUACAAACAUUAAAGUAACAAACGUAGUCUUAUUAUAAUCUAAUAAAACUUUCAACAACGGAUCUCUUGGCUCUC